CGCGUAGGCGGGUCUUCAAGUUUGGGGUGAAAUCCUCCGGCUCAACCGGAGAACUGCCUCGAAUACUGAAGGUCUCGAGGGGGAUAGGGGCAUGCGGAACUACGGGUGGAGCGGUGAAAUGCGUUGAUAUCCGUAGGAACUCCGGUGGCGAAGGCGGCGUGCUGGAUCCCUUCUGACGCUGAGGCGCGAAAGCCAGGGGGAGCAAACG
rnacentral:rRNA from 1 species